rnacentral:lncRNA from 1 species
UUUCUAGCAGGCUGUAAAACUAAUAACUUGAAGCGGUGCCGUGGCCUGGAUAAUGUCCUGGAUUCUGAAACAGUGAACUCCAACAAAGCUCUGAUCUCAAGCAACAAGAUUGGUGGAGAUAAAGAAGAGCUUCCAAGAGAGUGAAGAGCAUGAAUAAGGAUGUGUUUCAAGAACUCACUGACGUAGCCAUUCAAAGGCUGCAGCUCUUGGAGUGCCGAAGUGUUGGCACGCUGCUUGCCUUACGAGCCUGUGAAACCCGUGAACAAAAGCUAUGGUCCUACAAAGUGGCGCAAUUCCCUCAUGUUGGCUGGCAUCAAACUCCAAAUGCUGCACAGGAAGAAAUCUUCCCUCCCAAGCCUGCCAGCCCAGGAACCUAAGCUUUUAACUCUGCAGAACUGAAGGCACCAGACAGAUGGGAAACCUGAAGAGCAUAUGAGCUUCCUGCAGGUGUCUCAAAGGGAAAUAGGAAAAAGGACAAGCGGCUGUGAUCAAAAUUUGCUGUGAAAGAAGACAAAGAAGAGGAGGCAAAAUAGUUUCUGUUCUUUCUAUGGAGUUUUUAAAGGUCCUUGAUGUAAUUAGAUUUUUUAACUUAUUGUUCAGAAUACAUAGUUUGCACAUAUCUUUGAAAUCUUGGUUUAGUAUUCUGUGUGCUACUUUAUACUUAGAAAUUUGAGCCUACAUUCUCUAACUGGAAUCCUUUGCAGGCAAAACACAGACAGUGGGCUUGUGAAUGCCUUCAAAAAUCUUUUGUAAUAUGAAAAACUAUUGAAGCUCCAAAACUACCUAUACACCUCUAUAUUUUACCACUUAUGUUUGUGAUGAAUAGCACUUAGGAAACAUGGUCAAAUAGGACAAGUGAUUAGAAAGGACUUCUUGAGUCACCUAGUCCAGGUAACCUUGUCGUAUGCUCCCUUUCAUAACUCAAACUCCACAUUAAGAGUAGGUGGGUUGUUAGACUCCAUCAUCCCAAGGGAGUUUUUCCAGAUUGUGAUUACACCAGUGAUUUAGACAUUUCUUCUAACUUACAGUCUAAAUGUGU